AUUAAAAACUUUUCGACGAUGUCCUUAAGGGGCACGUGGCGUAAUGAGAUCGCUAGCUCAGGUAACAGUCUUGAAGAUUUCGCAUCAAUGAUUCGGUGAACGGCGUUGACGAUGAUGACGAUGAUGAUGACUAAUGCUACGGGACCGGACACGAAUCCGAUGAGGAGGAGAUAUCAGAGCACCACCGCCUAAUCCGUACCGGUCGUCGUGCCGCCUGAUCCCUUCAUCGCUUCCACUCCAACACUCUCCACCAAUCACCCCCUCAUACUAAAUCCAUCUCCGGCGCCGGCGGUGGACUUGUCGUCUACCCAACUUACGGUCGUCGUCGUCGCCAUCGCCAUCGUGUCUUCCUCAAUCAUUUUUCCUUGUUUCAAAAUUUUACAAAAUGUCAUGCCAAUAAUUAUCACUUUGCUUAAAGUCUCUUAACAUUGUCAUUAACUUACCAAUAAUAAAAAAAUGUAAGGACUCAAAUAAAAGUCUCACCAGUAAUCUUGCUCUUAGGCCAUGUUUAUCGCCGGUAAUAAGUAGGUUUCUAAAUGCAUAGGCCCCACAAAAACCUUUAAAACCGAUCACAAAAGUAAGAAAAUAAGGAUCGAUCUUUCUUUGUUUUUUCCACAGAUUGUGGGCCCCACUGACACGUGGCGGCCCGCGAUUGGUUCCCCUUUUAAUUUUUUUUUUAGCAGACGAAAAAAAAAACAAAAAAACAAAAAAAAAGCUACCUAUGGUUCCGUGCCUGCGUUGAACAUUCUCUUAGAGCACAAUUAUCGGAGUUUCUUAAGAUGUAUCUUAAGGUAAUUUUGGUUUAAAAAAUAUAAAAAUACAUAAUUAGAGAAGAACCGUGUUUUAAUUAGG
rnacentral:lncRNA from 1 species